rnacentral:rRNA from 1 species
GAUGAACGCUGGCGGCGUGCCUAACACAUGCAAGUCGAACGGAGUCCAGCCUUUAAGACCUUCGGGUCAAAGAGGGGAAGACUGAGUGGCGGACGGGUGAGUAACACGUGGGCAACCUGGCUCAUAGAGGGGGAUAACAGAGAGAAAUUUCUGCUAAUACCGCAUAAGCACACACUGCCGCAUGGCAGAGGGUGAAAAGAGAAUCGCUAUGAGAUGGACCCGCGUCUGAUUAGCCAGUUGGCAGGGUAAGAGCCUACCAAAGCGACGAUCAGUAGCCGAUCUGAGAGGAUGAACGGCCACAUUGGGACUGAGACACGGCCCAAACUCCUACGGGAGGCAGGAGUGGGGGAUAUUGCACAAUGGGGGGAACCCUGAUGCAGCGACGCCGGGUGAGUGAAGAAGUAUUUCGGUAUGUAAAGCUCUAUCAGCAGGGAAGAUAAUGACAGUACCUGAAGAAGAAGCCCCGGCUAACUACGUG